AGACCUCCAGAUCCUAGCAGUGACCUCAAGGUCUCCAAAGAAGAUGAUGGGUCACAGAAGAACUCCACCCGGAACAUGCUUUACCUGUGACAAGGACAGCUUCUACGAAACACUGCCCUUCACCUUGCCGACGACGGCAGGACCUCUACAAACUGUGGACCAAGUGCAAUACUGCGGAGCUGACUGCCCCACUUUGCCUAGACAACACAGANUGGUCCUCCAAGCUCCUCCUCCACAGCAAAGUCUGUUGGAUCUUUUGGGCCUGAUGGCCAAAGGCUGUCCAUAGAGCUUGACUGUCAGGUAGCCAGUAAGUAUCUAUUAUGUUUAANAGACUCAGGACCUACUUGAUGUAUACUUAUUGAAUCACUGUCGGGUUCCGAGCUCCAACUAUGACUCAAACACGUGAGUCUACUGACUUUUAUGCAAUGUGGAUCUCAAUAAAAAUUGCACAGUGGUAAUGCUAACAUAUGUAAAAUUUUAUCUUUUGAUAAACUUAAAAUUCUUGUAA
rnacentral:lncRNA from 1 species